CAAAAAUGGAUAAGAUUUCCGAACCUAAGAGCAGCGUCCAAGUCUUUCCAUCUCCAGUCACAUUUGACUUGUCUGGUGAUGCAAGUUUUAGCUGUGAAACAUCUGGUGCUCCGUUAAAUGAGGAAACAAAAGCAAAGCAGUGUCACUAUGGUGAUGAAAUUGAUGAGGUUUCUGAUGCAUCUGUCCAAAUCACUGCGGAUGUCAAAGCUACACUGCCAAGGUUUGCCUCUGAACAAGAUCAGAAGGAAGGAGCUUGUCUUGAGGAGUGCCUUUUCCCAAAGUCCAAGUCCAGCAUUUUCAACAAUAAGAGUGGAGAUACCAGGACGUAUGAAGAACAUUCCAACCACAAGACAACACUGUCAAAUCCUGAAAAUAUCUC